GGCCUUUUUGAGUCGCAUUGUAAGUUGAUGAGGAUUGAACUGCCAAUUCUGGUACCACAAGAAGAGCGAAAGUGGCUCUUCACAGAUCUCGCGUAUGAUAUCUACUGUUUGAUGGUGCUUAUAUGGAAAAUGUGCCUGAAAAGCAGUUGGAAAGCUCUUAAAUGGAGACAACGUGAGACAGUCAGGUAAAAUACUGGAGGCAUGAUUGACAGUAACUCAGAUGUUUCUUCAAUGGAUUAAUGUAUUUUAACAUCCCAUAAAACAUUAAAAAAGGUGAGUGUAGAAUAUCAGAAUAGACCAAGAAUAUUGCACAUUUCUUGAUAGGUUUUGGGUUAAAAUCAUUUGUUAAGAGAUUAUUUGAGGAAAAAAUUUCAGCUUAGAAGGUGACAUAAGAAAAAGGAGACUAUCCAAGCUGAACUGUGGUCAAGCUAUGAUAUUCUUUAAUGCUUUCAUGGUAUAUUUUAAAUAUAGCAUCUUUAGGUUUUCAAUUUAAUGCCACUUUGGUGAAUAGUAAUUCUUUAAAAUUUAUUUAUAGCACCAAAAUGUUUAUGACAUGAUGUUGAUUGAUAAGAUUGCAUUAUAAGGGUUACAAGGUACAAGUAAGAUACAUUUAGCUGCUAUUGGUUAAUAUAACAUUAAUUUUUUUGGUUGAAAAGCAAUAUUCUUAAGCUUCUUUUGCAGAUGAGUUCCAAGUAGGAAAAUGGAAAUGGAGCAUUUGCAGCCAAUUUUCAGGUAUUUCUGACCCCUUUGAGAAAGAGGUGAUUACAAAAUGUAAGCAUUGAAGGCUAAGAUGGUAAGACUUGGUCCCCUAAAAUAAAAGAGAGGAGAGUUUGAAAACUGUUUUGGAAACUGGACUGUCUUGCUGCGCUGAAUAGAUCUUGAACUGUGUAUAAGAGAUGGGUGACUAACAGCUGACCUGCUUUGGAGUCAGCUUCACCCAUAAAGUCUCUUCCUCAGCCUUGAUCUGUGAUGCUAAGACUUGGUCCACCAAAAAACAAAGAGAAGAGAGUGAAAAUUGUUUUUGAAACUGAACUGUCUUGCUGCACAGAAUGGAUCUUGAACUGUGUGUAAGAGAUGGAUGACUAACAGCUGACCUGCUUUGGA